UCGAAGGUAGCAUAAUCAGUAGUUUUUUAAUUGAAAACUAGAAUGAAUGGUUGGAUGAAAUAUAAACUAUUUCAGUUAAUUAUAUUGAAAUUAAUUUUUGAGUUAAAAAGCUUAAAUAAUAAAAUUAGACGAGAAGACCCUUUAGAGUUUUAUAUAAAUUAAUUUUUUAUUUAUUAGUUUUAUUUAUUUAUAUAUAAAUUAAAUUAUAUUUUAUUGGGGUGAUAUUAAAAUUUAAUAAACUUUUAACUAAAUUAUCAAAUUAAAUGAAUUUUUGAUCCAUAAAUUAUGAUUAAAAAAUUAAAUUACCUAAGGGAUAACAGCGUAAUAUUAUUUAAAGUUCUUAUUAAAAAUAAUGUUUGCGACCUCGAUGUUGGAUUAA
rnacentral:rRNA from 1 species